rnacentral:rRNA from 1 species
CAGUCGCCGCGGGAAUACGUAGGUCCCGAGCGUUGUCCGGAUUUAUUGGGCGUAAAGCGAGCGCAGGCGGUUAGAUAAGUCUGAAGUUAAAGGCUGUGGCUUAACCAUAGUACGCUUUGGAAACUGUUUAACUUGAGUGCAAGAGGGGAGAGUGGAAUUCCAUGUGUAGCGGUGAAAUGCGUAGAUAUAUGGAGGAACACCGGUGGCAAAAGCGGCUCUCUGGCUUGUAACUGACGCUGAGGCUCGAAAGCGUGGGGAGCAAACAGGAUUAGAUACCCGUGUAGUCCCUGUCUCUUAUACA